CCUACGGGAGGCAGCAGUGGGGAAUUUUGGACAAUGGGCGCAAGCCUGAUCCAGCAAUGCCGCGUGCAGGAUGAAGGCCUUCGGGUUGUAAACUGCUUUUGUACGGAACGAAACGGUGAGCUCUAAUAAAGUUUGCUAAUGACGGUACCGUAAGAAUAAGCACCGGCUAACUACGUGCCAGCAGCCGCGGUAAUACGUAGGGUGCGAGCGUUAAUCGGAAUUACUGGGCGUAAAGCGUGCGCAGGCGGUUAUAUAAGACAGAUGUGAAAUCCCCGGGCUCAACCUGGGACCUGCAUUUGUGACUGUAUAGCUAGAGUACGGUAGAGGGGGAUGGAAUUCCGCGUGUAGCAGUGAAAUGCGUAGAUAUGCGGAGGAACACCGAUGGCGAAGGCAAUCCCCUGGACCUGUACUGACGCUCAUGCACGAAAGCGUGGGGAGCAAACAGGAUUAGAUACCCUGGUAGUCCACGCCCUAAACGAUGUCAACUGGUUGUUGGGUCUUCACUGACUCAGUAACGAAGCUAACGCGUGAAGUUGACCGCCUGGGGAGUCGGCCGCAAGGUUGAAACUUAAAUGAAAUUGACCGGNNGAGAGNGCGACGACGACGACGAGGGAGGAGG
rnacentral:rRNA from 1 species